rnacentral:misc_RNA from 1 species
AAGUCGUAACAAGGUUUCCGUAGGUGAACCUGCGGAAGGAUCAUUAUCCAUCUUCAACCAGGUGCGGUCGCGGCCUCUGGGCAACCAGGUGGUUUCGCGCCGCAUUCCUGCAUCCUUUUUUUACGAGCACCUUUCGUUCUCCUUCGGCGGGGCAACCUGCCGCUGGAACUUAACAAAACCUUUUUUUGCAUCUAGCAUUACCUGUUCUGAUACAAACAAUCGUUACAACUUUCAACAAUGGAUCUCUUGGCUCUG